GACCUGAGAGGGUGAUCGGCCACAUUGGGACUGAGACACGGCCCAAACUCCUACGGGAGGCAGCAGUAGGGAAUCUUCGGCAAUGGACGACAGUCUGACCGAGCAACGCCGCGUGAGUGAAGAAGGUUUUCGGAUCGUAAAACUCUGUUGUUAGAGAAGAACAAGGAUGAGAGUAACUGUUCAUCCCUUGACGGUAUCUAACCAGAAAGCCACGGCUA
rnacentral:rRNA from 1 species